AGACACUUCUACCGAGCACCAAGGACCAAAGCUCUGUGCCAGGCAGCUGGGGACCCAAGGACACUAGGAGGAAUAAAUCAGGGUGGGCGCUGGCCCUCAGGGAGCUUCUGUCUUGCUGAGGAGACAACACCAGCCAGCACUCAGCCAUCUUAAUUAAUUAUUUUAUUUUUUUCUUUACUUUUCUGUUUUUUAGACAGGGUCUCACUCUGUUGCCCAGGCUGUCAGGCUGGAGUACAGUAGUGUGAUCACAGCUCACUGCAACUUCCGUCUCCGGGGCUCAAGCAAUCCUCCCUCCCACCUAAGCCUCCUGAACAGCUGGGACUACAAGCACACACCACCACACCUGGCUAAUUUU
rnacentral:lncRNA from 1 species